UUCACGGUUGGAGCCUGCGGGGGCUAAGCGGGGGACACUUCGGCACCGCUUUCCCCGCUCAGGUCCGGGAGCCCGCGUGUCGGGCCGUCAGUCGGUCCUCACGCUGCGCCGAGGGACAUGACCUUCAUGGAAUGAUCACUGAAGUCAGCUUAAGUUAGUUACUUCAACCUCGGCCCCGCUGUCACGUGUGUCCUGGAGUGGGGAGCCGGGAAGACAGAACAGGGUCCCGAUCAGCCACGUCGGGCUCCGUGGCAUCUCCCCACAGGCUUCCAGGCCGUCACCGAGCCCUCCAGUCUCCCACUUCUUCCUCUAACAGUGCCUCCGUGGCACUUGUGAAUUCCCCUUGAAGUCAUGGAUUUCAGGAUCUGAUCUGACCUAAGAUAUCCCAUGAUACCCAGACAUAAUUUGGUAGAGUUUAGCUGCUCAGUGUACUGCUUUAUCAUACAAUACAGAGAUUGACUAGGACAUACGUAAUUCCUUUUGUUGACAAAAUACUUAGGAUCUUCCAAAAAGAAGUAGGUAACUCUCCUCUCAGCUUUCACUGCAAAUGCUCAAUAAAAUCUCACAGUAUGUUUCAGUAUGGAAA